ensembl:snRNA LOC120100195 U6 spliceosomal RNA
GUUCUCACCUCAGCAGCAUGUAUACUAAAUUUGGGACAAUUCAGGGAUGAUUAGCAUGGCCCCUAUGCAAGGAUGCCAUGCAUGUGAGUAGGUUUUUCUUUCU